GACGAACGCUGGCGGCGGGCUUAACACAUGCAAGUCGAACGAGGUCCAUCUUGUAGCAAUACAAGUGAAGACCUAGUGGCGAACGGGUGAGGAACACGUGAGAAAUUUGCCCCGAACUUUGGGAUAACAGUUGGAAACGACUGCUAAUACCGAAUGCCGUUACGAAGUGGCAUCACUUUGUAACGAAAGAAUUUCGGUUCGGGAGAAUCUCGCGGCCUAUCAGCUUGUUGGUGAGGUAACGGCUCACCAAGGCUACGACGGGUAGCUGGUCUGAGAGGAUGAUCAGCCACACUGGGACUGAGACACGGCCCAGACUCCUACGGGAGGCAGCAGUGGGGGAAUCUUGUGCAAUGGACGAAAGUCUGACACAGCCACGCCGCGUGCGGGAAGAAGGCCUCGGUGUAACGCUUCAGCAGGAACGAAAAUAGACGGUACCGUGCAGAAGAAGGAGCGGCCAACUACGUG
rnacentral:rRNA from 1 species